AGAAUCAACGCUGGCGGCGUGCCUAACACAUGCAAGUCGCACGAGAAAGUGGAGCAAUCCAUGAGUACAGUGGCGCACGGGUGAGUAACACGUGAAUCAUCUACCUCCGAGUGGGGAAUAACUGAGAGAAAUCUUGGCUAAUACCGCAUAACACUUACGAGUCAAAGCAGCAAUGCGCUUGGAGAGGAGUUCGCGGCAGAUUAGUUAGUUGGCAGGGUAAUGGCCUACCAAGACGAUGAUCUGUAUCCGGCCUGAGAGGGCGCACGGACACACUGGAACUGAAACACGGUCCAGACUCCUACGGGAGGCAGCAGUGGGGAAUUUUGCGCAAUGGGGGAAACCCUGACGCAGCAACGCCGCGUGGAGGAUGAAAUCCCUUGGGAUGUAAACUCCUUUCGAUAGGGAAGAUAAUGACGGUACCUAUAGAAGAAGCCCGGCUAACUUCGCGCCAGCAGCCGCGGU
rnacentral:rRNA from 1 species